UACGAGGGGGGCAAGCGUUGUUCGGAAUUAUUGGGCGUAAAGGGCGCGUAGGCGGCUCUGCACGUCCGUUGUGAAAUCGCCCGGCUCAACUGGGCGGGUCAGCGGAUACGGCGGAGCUUGAGCAAGCUAGGGGGCAAUGGAAUUCCCGGUGUAGUGGUGGAAUGCGUAGAUAUCGGGAGGAACAUCAGUGGCGAAGGCGACCGCCUGGCCCAACACUGACGCUGAGGUGCGAAAGCCGUGGGUAGCAAACAGGGA
rnacentral:rRNA from 1 species